ACCGGGGCAGGUGGUUCCUCUGCCAGGGACACAAUUACAGUGAGAGGCGGGAAACAACCAAAGAGGAAAAGAUUUUUGAGGCUUCAGAAAGCAAAUGGAGUCAAAUACACCCGUUCAGUAAACAUGAAAAAAAUUAUGACAAGCAACCAAAAGGAACGUGUGGCCCCAGCAAACUGAUGGAGACAUUAGAGAAGGGAGACAAAAGAUGGAAGAGAUGUAGGUUCCUGGAAUUUCAGGUUUGCUUAGAAAGAGCUGAAGAGAAAGUUGACUGGUACAUGUUUUUUAGAGAUAGUCUGGAUUUCACAAGCAAGCACCGCUGGAGAAAUGAGAAAGGACUGAAAUAUCAAUUUCAGUGACAUCAAGACCUUCUCAGUGCUCCAAGUCUGAGGUUAUUUUCACACUGCUCUUUGGGUGUACAUCAGCAGGCUAGACUUUGGGUCUCCUGAUUGCCACAGUUGGCUAGCUCAUCUCUGGAGUGGGUCAAAAAGGCCCUUUUUGAAGAGAUGGGAGCCAGAAUGGGAGGUUGGAGUGGAUUUGGAGUGAGAAACUGGAUCAGCUCCUUAGUCCCCAUUAUAUUUUCUGCAAUUUGGACAACGGAAUUAGCUGUGUCCUCAGUUUCUUCAUUUUUAAAAUGGGGCUAACACCUGCCUUAUUUACUUGAUAGGCCUGUUGUUAGGAAUAAAAGAAACUGCUUAUCGUC